rnacentral:rRNA from 1 species
UUACGGAAGGCAGCAGUGGGGAAUCUUGCACAAUGGGGGAAACCCUGAUGCAGCGACGCCGCGUGAGCGAUGAAGCCCUUCGGGGUGUAAAGCUCUUUCGGCAGGGAAGAUGAUGACGGUACCUGCAGAAGCAGCUGCGGCUAACUACGUGCCAGCAGCCGCGGUAAUACGUAGGCAGCAAGCGUUGUUCGGAGUUACUGGGCGUAAAGGGUGCGUAGGCGGUUGUUUAAGUUUGGUGUGAAAUCUCCCGGCUCAACUGGGAGGGUGCGCCGAAUACUGAAUGACUAGAGUGCGGGAGAGGAGAGUGGAAUUCCUGGUGUAGCGGUGAAAUGCGUAGAUAUCAGGAGGAACACCGGCGGUGUAGACGGCUCUCUGGACCGCAACUGACGCUGAGGCACGAAAGCGUGGGUAGCAAACAGGAUUAGAUACCCCGGUAGA